rnacentral:rRNA from 1 species
CAGCAGCCGCGGUAAUACGUAGGGUGCAAGCGUUAAUCGGAAUUACUGGGCGUAAAGCGUGCGUAGGCGGUUAUAUAAGUCAGAUGUGAAAUCCCCGGGCUCAACCUGGGAACUGCAUUUGAGACUGUAUAGCUAGAGUACGGUAGAGGGGGAUGGAAUUCCGCGUGUAGCAGUGAAAUGCGUAGAUAUGCGGAGGAACNCCGAUGGCGAAGGCAAUCCCCUGGACCUGUACUGACGCUCAUGCACGAAAGCGUGGGGAGCAAACAGGAUUAGAUACCCUGGUAGUUCACGCCCUAAACGAUGUCAACUGGUUGUUGGGUCUUAACUGACUCAGUAACGAAGCUAACGCGUGAAGUUGACCGCCUGGGGAGUACGGCCGCAAGGUUGAAACUCAAAUGAAUUGACGG